rnacentral:rRNA from 1 species
UACGUAGGGGGCUAGCGUUGUCCGGAAUCAUUGGGCGUAAAGCGUGCGCAGGCGGCGCGUUAAGACAGGUGUGAAAGCCCCGGGCUUAACCUGGGAAUGGCCAUGGAAACUGGCGAGCUGGAGUGUGGCAGAGGGGGGUGGAAUUCCGCGUGUAGCAGUGAAAUGCGUAGAGAUGCGGAGGAACACCGAUGGCGAAGGCAGCCCCCUGGGCUAACACUGACGCUCAGGCACGAAAGCGUGGGGAGCAAACAGG